CCCUGGUGGUGGAAUUGGUAGACACAAGGGAUUUAAAAUCCCUCGGCGUUCGCGCUGUGCCGGUUCAAGUCUGGCCCGGGGCACCA
rnacentral:tRNA from 1 species